ACAGAAGAAGCCUGACCCUGGGAAACAUCAGAAGAUACUUGUUGUGAACUGCUUCUGGGAAGAGCUGCACUUCCUUGCCCUUCCAGGAUGCUUCCCACGUUCAGCCAGCUGAUUGCAGUCCCUCUAUUGACCUCAAACUGGCCUGACUUUGAGCAUAACCACACUGUGAAGAACUAAGACCAAGAUAACCACCGACACUCUUGGGGCACCAUCAAAAGGAACAUACCCUAGUUGGUGAAAUGAAGAUGAAACUUUGAAGUCACCCAGACUGGAGUCAAACCCUGUCACUUUGUUUCUGAGUGCCUCCGGGAGCCAGCUCUGAUGAAGAGGAUGCUUGCCUCAUGGGUAACCAGAGCUGUUAUUAUUAAAUGUCUGAAAUGAGAGUCCAAUUCACAGUUCUCCCCUUCUUGAUUCCUUUCAGGGCAUCUCCCACUGUCUGCGUGCCACCUUCCUUGGCUCUAUCGGAUGCAAGCCAGUGUGUCUCCCUCAUCUCCCUCAUUCUAAGCUCUGUAAUGACUUCUUUUGCAUUGUGUAUCACCCACAAAGCUGGUGGAGAGGUGGGUAUGUGUAUUCAUGCAGACAAAAGGAGAUGGCAAGCAGCAUCACAAUGGACAAAAUUAACUUCCCCUUUGUGGUUAUUAUUCCUGGGAGGGACUAGACACGUGAUGUUACUCAGCACUUCUUUUCAAGAGAGGGAAACUCGACUUGGAUUGGCUUAGACGAAGAACCAGAGAGACCAGACUCUCUUCUGUUUCUCCUCUCUGCUUCUCUGUGUGUGUGUGUUGGCUCUCUCCCUAGGGCUGGUGGCCAGGCCAGAGAAGGCUCCUCCCCCUUGGACCAGAGAUGGACUGACACCCACCCCGCUCUCCUUGGUGUCAAGUUUACAGUCCUGGAGGUCAAAUAAAAAUAUGUGUGCUGCCUCCAAAGACCGCACUGGCUGGGUAGGAGUUCAUAACCUUUGAGCUAGAAGAUUUCAGGCCUUUCUUCGCAAUUCGGCAAAUGAAUCUGUGACAUUUUCAGUAAGCAAACCAAGGUGGGAGAGGCCUUUCCAGGUAGGACAAUGCUAAUUAAGAAAGAUAAUUAAGGCGGGGGAUGCCAAGUUGGGAGGGACAUCCUUUGUGUUUUGUAAAACUCAGCAACUUCUCAAAGCGAGGUCCUAAAUGCCUUUUAAAAAGACUAUCACUCUAGGCUCGGAAAAUUCAGUCAUGUAAAUUCAAUCUGUGCUUAUAAUUUGUAUCCUUUGAUUGGUUAGGACUCUCAUUGGACUCAAUCUGUGUCAAGACAAAGGUAGGGUGGUGGCAUGGUCUCCGAGACAAGGGGAAGUGUAAGAGUCCUGAGGCAGGUGAUCAUAACCUCCACAGAACCUGCCAGAUAACUUUGCUCAGGUCCUUGUCAGUGGCCAGAACCUUCCAGGCGGAAUUACCUAUUAUGCAAACCAAGAAUGAGCUUAGAUAGCAAUAA